UACAGCCAUAUCACAUUGAAACACUGGUUUUCAUAUGAUCACCAAAGUUAAGCAACACCGAGCCUAGUCAAUACCUAGAUGGAUGACCACUUGGGAAUACUAUGUGCA